GUUUUUCAAAGGUAAAGAGGAUUUCAUUAUACAAUAGGUCAUACAAUUUUAGGGCUCAAAGCCCAAAAACAUGAAAUACUUAACCUAGCCCUAGUUCGCCUAACAAGGUUCAAUUUAAUUUUACAGAGAUUUUUAAAAAAACCCAACAACUCUUAACCUUAGCCAGCCUAAAACAGGCACAAUGGACCCAAUCCAGGAAAACCUUGUACUAUUUUGAUUAUCCACCCGACAAUCACAAACAAUAUCGCCGUAGCCUUCCGAGCUUCUGGGGGCUCUCCAACAACGGUUCAGCGGAAUGAAGAACGCUAAUCACAAGCUACCAACGCCAUUACAGAUCAACCCAGCUAAGAACCGUUUAAUCCUCCAAGUAACAUUUUGCUCUUGAUUAUUGCUGCUGCUGCUGGUGCUUGCACUGCCAUCGUGACUCAGUUGUGUCAUUAACCAUCAUUUUUCAAGUCAAGCUGUCAUUUCCUGAUCAGGAGCUCGUUCGAAUGUUGGAAUUAGCUCAUCAGCAAGUUUGAUAUCGUUGUUAUAUCCGAAUUUUCUGAGGACAGUCCAAGUUGUCUCAGGACGUCCUUUUUCUAUCAACAGUGCAUGGAGAAACAAGAAUCCUGUG
rnacentral:misc_RNA from 1 species